rnacentral:rRNA from 1 species
GCCUGGCCCUUAAAUCCAGAUACCCAUAUACCCCUGUAUCCGCCCGAGAACUACGAGCACAAACGCUUAAAACUCUAAGGACUUGGCGGUGCCCUAAACCCACC